CGCCCAAUUGGCAAUGGGCAAAGAGUCACCAUUGGUGAUGUUGUUCUUACAUCAGUCAGGGCAGAGCAGAAGGCGGUCCUUUGUUCAUCCUAGCUUGAUGCUUGGCUUGAUGUCCAAAGCUUUCUUUUGCCUAGGACACAGAA
ensembl:snoRNA LOC120099477 small nucleolar RNA SNORA48